UUAAAAGGAGAAGAAGCCUCUUAUUAUUAUUCUCUGGAAACUUAUGUAUCCACAAUAAGUAACAUGAAAUGGAUUUAUUUAUUUAUUCAUGGGAAUAUGGAUCAACUCUGUUUUUCUGGCCACAGGCAACACACGCACACGCACACGCACAUAUUUAUACAUAGAGAGAGAGAGAAUAGAAGCUCCAAAAAAAUUAAUUAAGAAGUAGACGACGUCGUUUCAACUUAAAAUAUUUCAAGGGCACUUGCGUCUGCCGUGGUGGGUGGUCAUAUUGGCGUAGCAAGGGCAGACCUCAGUGUUGCCUGCAGUGCCUGGAGGAACACAAUUGCAGCGGGCGCAGCAGGUACCACAUGCCCUGUGGCACAGGUUUGGCCUCGACGAUAAUCGGCACCUGGCCUGGCAUGCACCUCCACAGUCUGAUUGAUUAGAAAAAAAUAAAUAAAUAAAUAAAAUCAGAUUAAUCAGCUGUACAUGAACAUUAAUUUAAUCGAAGCAAACAGAAACAGAAGUAUUAAUUUGAUAACAAAAUUUUACCAAUUGAUGGUUUUGGAUAACCAGUUCCUUUGCUUGAGUUAAUCUGCACGUACGUUUAUGUAUGUAUUUCAGAAUCAUUCAUGUUACAAGUUUACAAGUAACUCCAAUAUUCAUCAAUUAUUUGAGCAUCGAAGGUGCUGGAAACUUUACCGUA
rnacentral:lncRNA from 1 species